GGGGAUAUAGCUCAGUGGUAGAGUGUGUGCUUAGCACGCACAAGGCCCUGGGUUCAAUCCCCAGCACCUCCA
rnacentral:tRNA from 1 species